CACGUAGGGUGCGAGCGUUGUCCGGAAUUAUUGGGCGUAAAGAGCUCGUAGGCGGUGUGUCGCGUCGGCCGUGAAAACCUGCAGCUUAACUGUGGGCUUGCGGUCGAUACGGGCAUCACUGGAGUUCGGCAGGGGAGACUGGAAUUCCUGGUGUAGCGGUGAAAUGCGCAGAUAUCAGGAGGAACACCGGUGGCGAAGGCGGGUCUCUGGGCCGAUACUGACGCUGAGGAGCGAAAGCGUGGGGAGCGAACUGG
rnacentral:rRNA from 1 species